AGUGGGGGUGAGAAACUGGCUUGGCUAUGACGCAAAGCACAGUCAGUCUUUUUCUCUCUCCUAUC
rnacentral:pre_miRNA from 1 species